ACAAUAUAUUUUGUUGCCCAUAUUUUUCCUGGUUGUUAACAAUAUUGUUGAGCAUUGUUCAGGCUGAACAAUGCAGAACAAUAUUGUUAACAACCGGGAACAAUAUGGGCAGCAAAAUAUUGUUC